ensembl:snoRNA SNORD22 Small nucleolar RNA SNORD22
UCCCUGUGAUGAAGCUCUCGCAUGUCUUACGCCCUGUGUCAGGACCAGAACCUGCAAAGGUGAACCCACUGGUCUUGCCAGGGCAAGAAGGGGAUGACCUGUUGGGGUAUCCAACGGUCUGAUGGGAC